AAUCCAUAGGUUAAUGAGGCGAACCGGGGGAACUGAAACAUCUAAGUACCCCGAGGAAAAGAAAUCAACCGAGAUUCCCCCAGUAGCGGCGAGCGAACGGGGAGGAGCCCAGAGCCUGAAUCAGCAUGUGUGUUAGUGGAAGCGUCUGGAAAGGCGCGCGAUACAGGGUGACAGCCCCGUACACAAAAGCGCAUGUGCUGUGAGCUCGAUGAGUAGGGCGGGACACGUGGUAUCCUGUCUGAAUAUGGGGGGACCAUCCUCCAAGGCUAAAUACUCCUGACUGACCGAUAGUGAACCAGUACCGUGAGGGAAAGGCGAAAAGAACCCCGGCGAGGGGAGUGAAAAAGAACCUGAAACCGUGUACGUACAAGCAGUGGGAGCCCCACCACCAAAGCAUUCUCUGGUGUUGAAGGCCCUGCAAAGCAGCAUCGCGGU
rnacentral:rRNA from 1 species